AUGUCUACAGAGCCCUCCGGACUUCCCAACCUGCAUUGUGAAAUCUGUUUGCUGCAGCUGUGGCUUUGGCCGCCCUUCCCAGGAAUACGUGGCUGGAAGAGAGGAGCAGCCUGCAGCAUUUUUAUCAUUAAAAUAUCACGGGAACCAAACUGCUCCGUUUCAGAGCAGGUUUUACUGAAUACAGGCAACUCACUUACUACGCAUAUACACAGAUGUGCGUGUGUGUGUGUUUCAAGGACAAUGGUUUUUAGGAAAACAAUUUGGAACAAAUGUCGCUUCUUGUGCCUGGUCUAUAUGGAUUCAGGUGGCCCUGUGAGGAGUGGUGAAAAGGAAGCACAGAAGACACAAAGGUAUCAUCAAUCGGACAGCGAUCUGUGCAGACUUCUAGCCAAACCCCAGGCUCCAACGUGGCUGACACCAGCAGGCACUUUCUGGAAAGAGAUAAACCCCACUGUGGGACGAGCAGGCUGAAGAGUCUUGCGGGGAGGAGGAGGGAGGCGGCAAAGAAAAGCAUCUCUCCUCCUAACCAGGAAACACUGGGAUCCAAGUGGGAUCCACUGCAGGUCUGAGCAGAGGGCAGGGAAGCCAAUGAGAGGACAGCAGGAAGCCAGUCACGGCACCACAGACACGGGCAGAAAAGCCUCACAGACUGCAGUGAUCAGAGCCGAGCACACAGGUACGAGUUCCAGAGGCAGAGUGCUCAAGACUGAGAUCCGCUGUGACCCCUGACCGCGGUGUCGCCUUGGGUGCUUUCUGGGUGCCCAUUUCCUCAACGGGGGGAUGAGGCUGACAGCAGUGGCGACUCCUGUCCCUUGCCGGCCCUCCACCAUCAGCUGUCCCUUCUACUUGAGGACGUAAAACGGGACUGCACCUGCCUCUGUACUGGUACCAAAUUAAACCACGCUUGCCUGGCCCAUCGUGAGUAAUUAAGAAAUGCUCUCUGAGUCUUAAUGACAUAAAAAUCCAAUCACAAGUUAUAAAAAUGCAGAAAGAGAAAGC
rnacentral:lncRNA from 1 species